rnacentral:rRNA from 1 species
UACGAAGGGGCUAGCGUUGCUCGGAAUUACUGGGCGUAAAGCGCACGUAGGCGGCUUUCUAAGUCGGGGGUGAAAUCCUGGAGCUCAACUCCAGAACUGCCUUCGAUACUGGAAAGCUCGAGUCCGGGAGAGGUGAGUGGAACUGCGAGUGUAGAGGUGAAAUUCGUAGAUAUUCGCAAGAACACCAGUGGCGAAGGCGGCUCACUGGCCCGGUACUGACGCUGAGGUGCGAAAGCGUGGGGAGCAAACAGG